rnacentral:rRNA from 1 species
AUUGAACGCUGGCGGCAGGCCUAACACAUGCAAGUCGAGCGGAUGAAGGGAGCUUGCUCCUGGAUGCAGCGGCGGACGGGUGAGUAAUGCCUAGGAAUCUGCCUGGUAGUGGGGGAUAACGUCCGGAAACGGGCGCUAAUACCGCAUACGUCCUGAGGGAGAAAGUGGGGGAUCUUCGGACCUCACGCUAUCAGAUGAGCCUAGGUCGGAUUAGCUAGUUGGUGGGGUAAAGGCCUACCAAGGCGACGAUCCGUAACUGGUCUGAGAGGAUGAUCAGUCACCCUGGAACUGAGACACGGUCCAGACUCCUACGGGAGGAAGCAGUGGGGAAUAUUGGACAAUGGGCGAAAGCCUGAUCCAGCCAUGCCGCGUGUGUGAAGAAGGUCUUCGGAUUGUAAAGCACUUUAAGUUGGGAGGAAGGGCAGUAAGUUAAUACCUUGCUGUAUUGACGUUACCAACAGAAUAAGCACCGGCUAACUUCGUG